rnacentral:misc_RNA from 1 species
AAAACAGGCCAUAUUAGCUUGGUUCGCAAAACUAUGAACAAUGCAUAUACCGAUAAUACAUAUCACCAAUUAUAGAAGGACGAUGUAAUCAUUAAGAUCCAUACCAUAGCCACAAAAUCGGAACAUUCACGACUUAAACGACCCACUUGUAUCACUUACCCAUUGCAUGUGCCGUAAGGAAACAAUACCCAACUUCCACACUAAACUUCCCUCAAUCUAUUAAAUAUGCA